GCAAACUUGGUCAUUUAGAGGAAGUAAAAGUCGUAACAAGGUUUCCGUAGGUGAACCUGCGGAAGGAUCAUUAAUGAAUUAAAUUCUGUCGGGUUGUUGCUGGUCUUUUACUCGGGACAAGUGCACGCUUGGCUCAAUUUAUCAACCACCUGUGCACCUUUGUAGACUUGGAUAAUGCUCGAGUGUCAAAACUCGGAUUGAGGGAUUGCUUCGCGGCUUUCCAUCGAUUUCCAAGUCUAUGUUUUUAUAUACUCUUGAUUAAUGUAUGUCAGUGCGCUAUCGAUAACAAUAAUACAACUUUCAACAACGGAUCUCUUGGCUCUCGCAUCGAUGAAGAACGCAGC
rnacentral:misc_RNA from 1 species